UUAAAAGAAUUACAUAAAUAUGGUUAUAGAUCUUAUUGCAAUUCAAAAGUACGCGACAUAGCCAAAUGUCGUGCGCAGCUUACGCCAAUGCGCACCACUGUG